rnacentral:lncRNA from 1 species
CUGAGCCACCGCGCCCGGCCCCUACAUUUAUUUUUUUACACCUUUUAGGUCAGAGCAGAAGAACUUGAACAUUUUCUAGUUUCUUGAGGUAGAAGCUGAGGUCAUUGAUUUGAGUUCUUUCUCCUUUUCUAAUAUGACCAUUUAGUGCUAUGAGACCACCAGGCCUUGGUGACAUUCCUGACCACUGGAUAAAGCCUCAGCUGAGGCCAACCUGAAUCCAAACCACUAGUUUUCAACGCUCACUACACAUUAGAACUACCUGGCAAGCUUCUAAAACUAGCCAUGCUUUGGCCCCACCCCAGGCCAAUUAAAUGAAAAUCCCUGGGAAUGAACCUCAUUACUGGGAGUUGUCAAAGCUCACCAGGUAGUUCUGUUGAGCAGCCAGGACUGGGAAUCACCACUCUAGGCCACUGUUUUUCGAACUGUCUGUAAUAACAGCAGUUUUCCGUUUCAUUUUCAGUUUUAUUGUUAUUUUAUUGACUGAUACUUUUGUAACACACAAUAAAGAUGAAUCAUAUAGCUUCAUCCACUGGAGGUAUCCUUUAUAAAAAGUGGUUCUUCUAUGCCUCUUAAACCCAGGUGUUCUCGUUAUCCUGUAGCAUCAUCAACAAGGUAGGAAAGAAGGGUCAUGCACGUGGAUCUUGCAGCCACAUAGAUAUCUUAUCGUGGACCAAUAACAGUUUGUGGACCACUGUAGUCCAAGGACUGCACUGCAGCACUGUCAAGCUUUCUUGACUAUGAGUCAAUAACUUCUUUUUAUUGUUUAAAGUAAUUUUCAGUUACAAGAGGCAGAUUCCAAUUGAAGCACUCUAUCACAGCCAUAUCCAUCUAGGCUGCAGUCAUCGGAUGACAUGUUGCUCUCUCUUUCUAUCUCUCUCUUUCCCACAGGAGAGAUGCAGCCAUCCCAGAGUAUGUGCGUAGUCAUGGUUUAUUUGAUGGUGACUGUGUGAUCACUGUGCACUCUCAUUCUGGCUCCCUUUCCAGAGCAGCAUUAACACAGGUGAUACAAACUUCCCUUUCCGCCACUGUUGACACUAAAGGAAAUGAGAACAUCUGGGUUUAAGAGGUAAUGGAAGCACCACUUUUUUUUUUUCAUAAAGGAAACCUCUAGAAGUCACAUGAUUUGGCGGUACCUUUUCUUUUUUCUUUUCUUUUUUUUU